rnacentral:rRNA from 1 species
AUUGAACGCUGGCGGCAGGCCUAACACAUGCAAGUCGAGCGGAUGAAGGGAGCUUGCUCCUGGAUUCAGCGGCGGACGGGUGAGUAAUGCCUAGGAAUCUGCCUGGUAGUGGGGGAUAACGUCCGGAAACGGGCGCUAAUACCGCAUACGUCCUGAGGGAGAAAGUGGGGGAUCUUCGGACCCCACGCUAUCAGAUGAGCCUAGGUCGGAUUAGCUAGUUGGUGGGGUAAAGGCCUACCAAGGCGACGAUCCGUAACUGGUCUGAGAGGAUGAUCAGUCACACUGGAACUGAGACACGGUCCAGACUCCUACGGGAGGCAGCAGUGGGGAAUAUUGGACAAUGGGCGAAAGCCUGAUCCAGCCAUGCCACGUGUGUGAAGAAGGUCUUCGGAUUGUAAAGCACUUUAAGUUGGGAGGAAGGGCAGUAAGUUAAUACCUUGCUGUUUUGACGUUACCAACAGAAUAAGCACCGGCUAACUUCGUG